GGGCGUAUGGUGUAGUUGGUUAUCACGCUCGCUUAGCACUGCUUAUGUAACUGUGCGAGAGGUGUCCGGUUCAAUUCCGGAUUCGUCCA